GCCAGACUCCUACGGGAGGCAGCAGUGGGGAAUAUUGCACAAUGGGGGAAACCCUGAUGCAGCGACGCCGCGUGAGUGAGGAAGUAUUUCGGUAUGUAAAGCUCUAUCAGCAGGGAAGAAAAUGACGGUACCUGACUAAGAAGCCCCGGCUAACUAUGUGCCAGCAGCCGCGGUAAUACGUAGGGGGCAAGCGUUAUCCGGAUUUACUGGGUGUAAAGGGGGCGCAGACGGCGAUGCAAGCCAGGAGUGAAAGCCCGGGGCCCAACCCCGGGACUGCUCUUGGAACUGCGUGGCUGGAGUGCAGGAGGGGCAGGCGGAAUUCCUGGUGUAGCGGUGAAAUGCGUAGAUACCAGGAGGAACACCGGUGGCGAAGGCGGCCUGCUGGACUGCAACUGGCGUUGAGGCCCGAAAGCGUGGGGAGCAAACAGGAUUAGAUACCCCAGUAAC
rnacentral:rRNA from 1 species